rnacentral:rRNA from 1 species
AUUGAACGCUGGCGGCAGGCCUAACACAUGCAAGUCGAGCGGAUGAAGGGAGCUUGCUCCUGGAUUCAGCGGCGGACGGGUGAGUAAUGCCUAGGAAUCUGCCUGGUAGUGGGGGAUAACGUCCGGAAACGGGCGCUAAUACCGCAUACGUCCUGAGGGAGAAAGUGGGGGAUCUUCGGACCUCACGCUAUCAGAUGAGCCUAGGUCGGAUUAGCUAGUUGGUGGGGUAAAGGCCUACCAAGGCGACGAUCCGUAACUGGUCUGAGAGGAUGAUCAGUCACCCUGGAACUGAGACACGGUCCAGACUCCUACGGGAGGCAGCAGUGGGGAAUAUUGGACCAUGGGCGAAAGCCUGAUCCAGCCAUGCCGCGUGUGUGAAGAAGGUCUUCGGAUUGUAAAGCACUUUAAGUUGGGAGGAAGGGCAGUAAGUUAAUACCUUGCUGUUUUGACGUUACCAACAGAAUAAGCACCGGCUAACUUCGUG